rnacentral:rRNA from 1 species
UACGGAGGGUGCGAGCGUUGUCCGGAAUCACUGGGCGUAAAGGGCGCGUAGGCGGCUUGAUCAGUGUGCGGUGAAAGCCCGGGGCUCAACCCCGGGUCGGCCGUGCGAACUGUCGAGCUUGAGUACAGUAGGGGCGGAGGGAAUUUCCGGUGGAGCGGUGAAAUGCAUAGAUAUCGGGAAGAACACCAACGGCGAAAGCACUCCGCUGGGCUGAUACUGACACUGACAGACGAAAGCUAGGGUAGCGAAAGGG